UACUGCGAUAAAACCUGAACUUAUAUAUUGCACAGGAGCUGGAACUGUGACAAUAACAUGAUCUGGAAAUGGACCCCAAGCCUGGCUGACCCAACCUGCGAUGUCACCUUGAACACAGGGGACAAGUUCUUCAAGGAAAGGAAAAGGUUUGUGGAGAAGAAAACACUUAACAGCUAUGAUUAAAAUAAAAUAAAUCCUGUCUGCUGUGUUUAUAAAGCAUAGGGGAACAGAAGGUCUGUGUACGGAAGCUGGAUGUUCCCUUGUGUCCUCUCUCAGCUCUUGGAGAGGGGAAACCAGGCAUAUGCUUGGGUGUCCUUGGAGUCUAAGGUUAGAAAGAUUCCAUCAAGGUUAAAGAGCCCAAUGAGGAGAUUGUUUUACCACUGGCUCCCCUGUUGCUGCUUGAGAUCUUCCAGCCUCUUCCCAUGAGAUGCUUGGUCCACACUGCCAGUUUACACUCAGCUGUGGGGAGCUAAGUGCCAUUACCAGCCAAGCUCGUUGUCAUGCCAACAUGUCAUGCCAACCCUUCUCCAGCCAGACAGCAAUGUCAUUAAUCCAUCAUUAGAGCCAGUUCUUACUGUUCUUUGCUGCAGGAGCUGCCUUGAGAUAUGAAGACCCCACUGCGGCUGACCUCCAGAAGCAGUGCAGUAUGCCCCACCACAGCUGGGUUUAGCUACCAGGAUCCUCUUUGGAGUCUCUUUUGAGGAAUCUGCAGUUCAGGGCUGUUAUUUUUGGAGAGUCAGUGCUCGUGUUUAUUGUGAAGGCUCCUAGAGCUCUUGGCACAGGCUUUGAGGUGAAUCUUAUAACACGUAGGAGUGGCUCUAGCAAGUUUGGUGUGAAAUGUGGAUCUUGAUUGCCAGGUCUAGAAGAGGUUCAAAUCUACUUGAACUUUUGCUACAGUCAAGUUUAAAUUGCCAAACCUGAAGAAAGCAGACCGUAUGUUCCCCCACUAUCUCUUGCACAGCAUCCAAAAAUAACCCACACUUCUUGUUCUUCAUCAUUGCCACCAGAAUCCCCCCUUCAAGCACCAAUCCAGUGCAGGCAUGGAGGAAUAUUUCCGCUGUGUAUGUCCUAGCCCACCUAAGUAUGAACAUCGAGUUUGCUUUCAGUGAGUCAGUGCUUGUGGUGCCUUGCAGCAUGUGUCAGAGUUUAAGAGCAGAGCUGCCCGUGCUUUCUGCUCAGUGAUUUAGAUGCUUUGGCUACAGAGCUGCUUCCUUGCCUGUCCUCUCUCUUUGUUUCAAGCCCUCAGUGCUCUUAGCUCUUAAGUAUAUAUCUACAUGUCAUCCUUGGUAAUGAAGACCUGGAAGAUAUUUUAAAGACAUAGACAAUAAAACUCAGCAUCUCUUUACUUCCUUUCCCCUUUCCUAUGCCCAAGCAUGGAGUUCUUCUGCAAGGAGUUCUUGCUUGCUUUACUAUAUAUUUAUGUUUUAAAAAUCUUGCUGCCAUCUGAAACUGUUGGCUCCAGUUUGGGCUUUUUUGGGUUUGGUUUUGUUGGUGGGUUUUUGUUGUUGUUUUUGUUGUUGUCCUCUCAAGAGGAAGAAAGUAUGUGCGUUUCCAAGUUCUUGAAUAAAUGUCAAA